CUAACUUUCAUCGUAUGUACCUUUUGAUUCAAUUACUGAAGAAUUGCUUAUUACUUUGUUAGGCUUUUGAGUCUAAAUUAUUUGACUUUUCAGGCUAGCCCAAGGUCAAAUUCCAACGAUUUUUUGUAGACUUCAAGUCAGGAACUAUUUCAUGCCGAACUAGACUAAUUUUUGGAGGAAAAAUAUAGGCAUGUUUAAGGACUCCAGGACAAGAUAUGAUGCCCGAUAUUAAAAUGAGUCGGGCAAAUUCAUUCAGGUACAAUGUGCACUCUUCAUAAGCAAGGUUUUUAAACCCAACCCGGAUCAGACCGGCAGUCGAACCGGAAAAAACUAUAAUCGGUUAGCCCUUCAAUCCGGUUUAGACCAAUGACCUAUUUUUAUUUAAAAACAG
rnacentral:lncRNA from 1 species